CUUGGUCAUUUAGAGGAAGUAAAAGUCGUAACAAGGUCUCCGUUGGUGAACCAGCGGAGGGAUCAUUACAGAGUUGCAAAACUCCCAACCCUUUGUGAACGAACCUACCAGUUGCCUCGGCGGCGAGCCUUUCAAGCGGACCGCCGAAGGAAUACAAACUCUUUGCAUUAUAGUAUCUCUGAUUACUUAUUCAAUAAGUUAAAACUUUCAACAACGGAUCUCUUGGUUCUGGCAUCGAUGAAGAACGCAGCGAAAUGCGAUAAGUAAUGUGAAUUGCAGAAUUCAGUGAAUCAUCGAAUCUUUGAACGCACAUUGCGCCCGCUAGUAUUCUGGCGGGCAUGCCUGUUCGAGCGUCAUUUCAACCAUCAAGCCCUAGGCUUGUGUUGGAGCCCUGCGGCUGCCGCAGCCUCCUAAAAACAGUGGCGGGCUCGCUAUUACACCGAGUGCAGUAGUUUACUCUUCGCUCAGGGCGUGUGGCGGGUGCUGGCCGUGAAACCCCUACUUCUUAAGGUUGACCUCGGAUCAGGUAGGAAUACCCGCUGAACUUAAGCAUAUCAAUAAGCGGAGGA
rnacentral:rRNA from 1 species